UUGAACGCUGGCGGCAGGCCUAACACCUGCAAGUCGAGCGGAUGAAGGGAGCUUGCUCCUGGAUUCAGCGGCGGACGGGUGAGUAAUGCCUAGGAAUCUGCCUGGUAGUGGGGGAUAACGUCCGGAAACGGGCGCUAAUACCGCAUACGUCCUGAGGGAGAAAGUGGGGGAUCUUCGGACCUCACGCUAUCAGAUGAGCCUAGGUCGGAUUAGCUAGUUGGUGGGGUAAAGGCCUACCAAGGCGACGAUCCGUAACUGGUCUGAGAGGAUGAUCAGUCACACUGGAACUGAGACACGGUCCAGACUCCUACGGGAGGCAGCAGUGGGGAAUAUUGGACAAUGGGCGAAAGCCUGAUCCAGCCAUGCCGCGUGUGUGAAGAAGGUCUUCGGAUUGUAAAGCACUUUAAGUUGGGAGGAAGGGCAGUAAGUUAAUACCUUGCUGUUUUGACGUUACCAACAGAAUAAGCACCGGCUAACUUCGU
rnacentral:rRNA from 1 species